rnacentral:rRNA from 1 species
GACGAACGCUGGCGGCGUGCUUAACACAUGCAAGUCGAACGGAAAGGCCCUGCUUUUGUGGGGUGCUCGAGUGGCGAACGGGUGAGUAACACGUGAGUAACCUGCCCUUGACUUUGGGAUAACUUCAGGAAACUGGGGCUAAUACCGGAUAGGAGCUCCUGCUGCAUGGUGGGGGUUGGAAAGUUUCGGCGGUUGGGGAUGGACUCGCGGCUUAUCAGCUUGUUGGUGGGGUAGUGGCUUACCAAGGCUUUGACGGGUAGCCGGCCUGAGAGGGUGGCCGGCCACAUUGGGACUGAGAUACGGCCCAGACUCCUACGGGAGGCAGCAGUGGGGAAUAUUGCACAAUGGGCGGAAGCCUGAUGCAGCAACGCCGCGUGCGGGAUGACGGCCUUCGGGUUGUAAGCCGCUUUCGCCUGUGACGAAGCGUGAGUGACGGUAAUGGGUAAAGAAGCACCGGCUAACUACGUG